AGCAGCCGCGGUAAUUCCAGCUCCAAUAGCGUAUAUUAAAGUUGUUGCAGUUAAAAAGCUCGUAGUUGAAUUUUAGGCUUGACCGGGCGGUCCGUCUCUGGCGAGUACUGUCCUGUUGUCGGGUCUAUCCUUCUGGUGAGCCGGUAUGUCCUUAAUUGGGCGUGUCGGGGAACCAGGACCAUUACCUUGAAAAAAUUAGAGUGUUUAAAGCGGGCUUUUGCUUGAAUAGAUUAGCAUGGAAUAAUAGAAUAGGACGUUGGUUCUAUUUUGUUGGUCUAGGACCACCGUAAUGAUUAAUAGGGAUAGUUGGGGGCAUUAGUAUUCAAUUGUCAGAGGUGAAAUUCUUGGAUUUAUUGAAGACUAACUACUGCGAAAGCAUUUGCCAAGGAUGUUUUCAUUAAUCAAGAACGAAAGUUAGGGGAUCGAAGACGAUCAGAUACCGUCGUAGUCUUAACCAUAAACUAUGCCGACUAGGAAUCGGGCGACGUUAUUUUCAUGACUCGCUCGGCGCCUUAUG
rnacentral:rRNA from 1 species